rnacentral:tRNA from 1 species
AGGAUCAUAAUUUAAUUAAAAUAUUUGAUUUGCAAUCAAAAAAUAUUGAAUAAUUCAAUUUAUCUUG